UACGAAGGGAGCUAGCGUUGUUCGGAAUCACUGGGCGUAAAGCGCACGUAGGCGGAUGUGUCAGUCAGGGGUGAAAUCCCGGAGCUCAACUUCGGAACUGCCUUUGAUACAGCACGUCUUGAGUCCGAUAGAGGUGGGUGGAAUUCCUAGUGUAGAGGUGAAAUUCGUAGAUAUUAGGAAGAACACCGGGUGGCGAAGGCGGCCCACUGGGAUCGGUACUGACGCUGAGGUGCGAAAGCGUGGGGAGCAAACAGG
rnacentral:rRNA from 1 species